rnacentral:tRNA from 1 species
GCCGCCUUAGCUCAGUGGUAGAGCAGGGCUUUCGUAAAGCUCAGGUCCUCGGUUCGAAUCCGAGAGGCGGCUCCA